rnacentral:tRNA from 1 species
GGAAGCACAACGGUCACUGGUGGGCCGCCCGGUCUUCAAAACCGGAGAGGGGGGUGAGAAACUUCCCUGGUGAGUUCGAUUCUCAUGUGCUUCCGCCA